CACCUCUGCUGCAUUCCCUUCAGGCUAAGGUGCAGCCUGCAGCAGUGUACAGAAGGAAUGCCGUGCACAGCAGGGGAUCUGUGUUUGAAAUGAUUUAAAGACACAACGUAUUGCCUGGAGCAAUUCCACUGCGUCUGGAAGAUGCUAGGCUGGUGCCUUGGGAACAGAAUCACAGCAGCUGGAGAGCUGGGCUGAACCCGGGAGCCUCUGCAGGCUCCCCAGUGCAGCCAAGAUCUCUGGAGGAGAGGAGGCCCCUGAAAGGCAGAAGGUAGCGUCCAGGACCAGGGCCCCUGAAAGGCAGAAGGAAGCGUCCAGAACCAGUGAAAUGAGAGUGCAUCAGCCAGCAGAAAAAGGAAACUGAAGGCGUCGACAAGAGCAGCGGCUUUGCAGAGGGAAGCGUCUAGAGACCGUGGGAGCACGCUGGACACCAGCGCUAAGCAGCACUUGCAGUGAGGACCUGGCUGAGCCCCCAGGAUCCCCCCAACGUAGCUGGCCGCCUUGGGGAGCUCUCUUCCCCAACCCACAGAUGCCACCAACCCUGGUGGCAUGACACGACACUCAAGAUUCCCUUGGGAGCGGGGGUCACAGGCCUGGGGCCUGCCAUGAGGCCACGGGGCCUCCUGCUUCCCAUGCUGAUAGCAAACGCGCCUUUCAGAGCCCUUCCCGCAUCUCCUCACUACAGAGCACUUCAUAGGCGCUCACAAUGAAGAAGUGGGGAGAGGGAGAGAAGCAGAUAAAAGGGAAAGCGGAAAUGUGGCAUUUUAGUUAUUUAAUAAAGGUAAACUUGAACUAUA